GUCUUUCCUCCAGUCUGAGGAGGGUGAAGUCCUGUCUCCACCAACCAUGCUUUCUGUCCUGUGGCUUUAGCUUCUCUCUCUCACUGUUCCCUUCUCACAGUCCUCCCACAUGUGUGGGCUUCCCCUCUUAAAACCAACCCCAAAACACAGACACCCCUUUUCUAACUAGAGCCCUAGAGUACUGAGUCUCCUGCCUCCACAUCUUAGUUAUUCUAAGUGUCAUCCACAUUUGAAAGCGUAUCACGUUUAAUUUUUCUCACACCAGGAUCCUCCCUAUACACUCCCUUUAGUCCAGCACACCACAGGGUCUGCAGGUUUCCCAAGGGACCAUUUGUUUACAGUUCCUAAACUGAUUCCCUACCCCACCCCUGUGCAGUUGGAAAAUGCCUAUUCUUUUCUAAAAAAAAAAAAAAAACCUCUUUUCUAUUCAAUCUCCACUGCAUAGCCUUCUUUGGGGAGGUAGGAAGUUAAUCAAACAAUCACAUAAUGUCUUAUAAGUAUUUUAAGACUUAAAUGAGAUAAUAUACACACUAAAUACUUAACAUAGUGAUGGACAGAGUAAUGCUUGAUAAAUUGUAGAUAUUAUUAUUAGCCCCUUAGACAGGCUGUUUUUUUUAUCUCUAAAUGUUCACUAUUGUCUCCAGGACAUCAUGCUAUACCUGUCAAAGCAGGUGAGAACUUUACCAAUCCACCAGAUUCUAAAGGCAGAAAUGCCUUUCCAGCCAUAUGUCUUUAACAAAGACAUCCAGAUGUCUUUGACAUCUAGUAGGGACUCAAUUAACAUCUGAUGAAUGAGUAAAUGACAAUACACUUGCAUGAGGACAAGGCAAUUAUUAUGUAUUAUAAUUCACAGAAAUAUACCAGUUCUCUGCAGAUGGUUCUGGCCUUUCAGCAGUGAUAUCACAUUUCAAACCUCCAAUUUACCUCCAUGAAAUUUGGAACAGGUUAGAAUGCCAAAGUGGGAAUCAACACUCCCUGACACUGGCUCCCCAGUGGGGAGAAUGACCGUGCUGGAUCAUGGGGGCCUAGUGAUCUCUUGGCUCAGGCUGGCACGGCUGUCCUUGGUGGGCCAGGGUGGCCUUGAGCAGCCAGCCUCUCUGGGUUCAGCUGUGGGCCAGCACUGAAACCGAACAAAAGGAGCAUUUAUGCCACUACUCACAAAGCAGGCCCUUGGGCAAGGAUCAGGGGACUUGCCUGUCAGCUUCUUUUUGCCCCAGACACAGCACGGCUACACCUCUGCCUUUAGGAACUGGGGUAAUGUCAGCAGCGGAGGGACAGAGAGGAAAGCUACUCUAUGGGGAUUCAGUUGUUUUCUGAAUCUACUUUAGGGAAAACAGAGAAUGGAAUCUCCCUGUGGAGACCUUUGCUGAAGCUGGUGCCUGGCAAAGCUGGGCUCCGAACUUCAAGGAUGAUCACCCAAGAGGAAAUGGCACCUGCUAUAUGCUGCUUUGACAUCUGCCCAUCUGGUUUUUUGUAGUUUUAUUUUUAGCCCUAAACUGAUUCAAAAUGCCAUUCUAGAGAAGCUAUGAGCUCUGUAGUGUUUUAGCCAAGGAAAGUCCCUCUGAAACAGAACCGAGGGGGCAUGUGGUUGGGGGCUAAGAGUGGUGCUCUGCACUAGGAGAUGUCUCACACGUCUUUCCAACCUCAAAGCCGAGGCCUCAUCUAGGUUCCCAGUUUAACAGUGUGCUUCUCAUUUCACCCCCCAAACAUCAAAUCUCCCUGUGCUCUUACCAUCAGAGUACUUUUUCAGGGUUAGAGACCCUGACUUCUCAAUUGUUUUCCUGAAUUCAGUGAGAUGGGCUGGACACUAGUAGGAGGAGCUCUCAGGACUGUCUGGAAUGCUGUCACAAGGUGGAUGUCCCCUGCCUUUCUGAGUCACCAAUGAAGAGUGGGCACACUGAAGGGCGGUGGCUGCCCAAAGCUCAGGGCACUGGUGAGUGAGCGAGCAAAUGGCAUAUCAUUCAUUCAAUCAGUUCUUCAAUGGAGGCCUACUAGUACCAGUUGCUAUGCUAAACCCCUCAUUUCAUUUUAAUGGGACAAAGUGUCACUCAACUCCUACUGUGCACCAGGCUCUGCAAGGCUGUGGGAAUAAAGAAUGGACGAGAUGGACAAGACUGAGGCUGCUUCUGAGUUUAGGAUCUAGCUAGAGUCUAAAGGUGUGCUGUUCAAUGUGGUAACCACAUAACAUGUAUAGGUAUAGACAGUUAAAGAACUAACAUGCACAACCCAUGGACU